UACGUAGGGUGCAAGCGUUGUCCGGAAUUAUUGGGCGUAAAGAGCUCGUAGGCGGUCUGUCGCGUCGGCUGUGAAAACCCGGGGCUCAGCCCCGGGCCUGCAGUCGAUACGGGCAGACUAGAGUGCGGUAGGGGAGACUGGAAUUCCUGGUGUAGCGGUGAAAUGCGCAGAUAUCAGGAGGAACACCGGUGGCGAAGGCGGGUCUCUGGGCCGUAACUGACGCUGAGGAGCGAAAGCGUGGGGAGCGAACAGG
rnacentral:rRNA from 1 species